GCACUCACGGCGAACCGAUUGGGUGCCUCGCGAAUACCGAACAUCUCGUACGUGAAGGAUGAACGAAGCAGCAUCUCGUUAAGAAAUCGCUGCCAGAUAUACAACCGCUAAGCACCUUCGGUUGAGUUACUUUGAAAGCGUUCAAGAAUUCGAUCAGCGACAGAUCACCGACACGCGUGACAAGGAGUUGAAUAUCCUGUUCUGUUACCGUCUACGCGCGACGGAGAAACGUCGGCGCGCAGCCGAGAGACUCGGCGAACUCGAGCCAUCCUCACCUCCUUUCUUCACCCUUCUACGCCACUAGCUGGAUGUGAGUUACCGCGCUACGGAAUGGACUCGUCGAAUUAUUUUCGUUGAAUGCCACCGCGGUAUCGGUUUCGCGAUCGCGGUACUGCCAGAGGGAUGAUAUUAAAAUUGAAAUGGGCUCGAACGAUGCCUCGAUUCUUUGGAAAGGGGCUUUAAAUAAAGGACUUUGCUGCCAACUUUCUUCCGCGUGGAUACGCCGCGCGCGGCUUUCUUUGCCUUUCAACGCACGACAUUGACCAUCCCUGUGUCUCUUGAAAAAUUCAACGAAUCCAGCGGAACGAUCCUGGCUCACGGUUAAUUGGCCUCCGACACUCCAUUUCGCAAAUUGCAAAAAGCAAUGCCAGGAUACUGUUGUACGUAGGUGCUGGCGUCGAGUGGCUGCAGCUUGUUACUGGAAAAUCGCUGGGACGGACGAAAGGAAUUCGAACGAUGGACGCGCUUACGCGUGUGACCAAGUGCAUCGUGCAGGGAAUCAGAAAUUAAGUCUGCUGGCAUGGCUGAUGUUGAACAAUUGUUAGUUUCGUUGGAAACACGGAAUUCUCUGUUUUCAUCUCUUCCGAACAACUUCCUGACAAAGUGGCUCGUUCCCAAGUGGAACGCAGUCGACGGCAACGAGUCCGAAAACACGAGGCAAACGUUGUGUCUGGCGAGCGGAAGGCACGCGUCUCCUUCGGCUUCGUAAUCUAAGCGGAGAGCGAACAGUGCCUAAUUCUCGUCCAAUUUCCAGCGUCGGGAAACCGGUUAACGGCACGACGCAACUCGUAGUAUUCGCUGAAACGAGUUUCGAUAAAGUUAACGCCGACCAGUACCGACGACACUCUGCUCAGACGUUUAGAUAAGUUAACUGUCGCUACGAAUACACGAAUAUCCAUGUAUUAACAUAGAUGUAACAGUGUAUUCGUUUUUCAGCUCCCUUGCACGAUUGAGCUAAUAUCAUUAGAGGAAUUUUAUUGGUUCGAAGUAUUAGCGAAUGCUGUCGUAUGAUGCUAAUAAUAGAUUCUUUUAUUUUUACUAUGCGAAACAUAGCGUUCUGUAUAUAUUAUGUUAUGCAAUUUAAUUCAAUAGAGAUAUAUUAAUAUAUAGAUGCGUUAUUGGUUGAAAAUGUGAAAAUACUAAAUUGUAAAUAGCUUUUGAAAAUAUCAUAUUGAGUAUAAAUUAGUUGGAAUAAAAUGUUCAAUGGAAUUUAUUACGCAAAGGGAAUCGAUAUCAUUUUCUUAAUUAUCGACUAAUCAGCAAGUUUGUUCCUUAUAUUAUUAAUUUAAAGUCAAGUAAAAAUAUUAAGGUUAUAUCUAUCGAUCAAUCACUCUGUUACGAUCGUUCGUAAAAUGCACCAAUAAUGUGAAUUAUUUAACUUGUAACUCGUAAAAUUGUACAAUUAUUUGCACAUCAGAAUUCUAUAAACUACAACGACCAUAUGUACAAUAACUUGU